GAUGAACGCUGGCGGCGUGCCUAAUACAUGCAAGUCGAGCGGUAAGGUCCCUUCGGGGAUACACGAGCGGCGGACGGCUGAGUAACACGUAGGGACGUACCCCAAAGUGAGGGAUAAGCACCAGAAAUGGUGUCUAAUACCGCAUGUGCUCUAAGGAGUAAAGCUUCGGCGCUUUGGGAACGGUCUGCGUCCGAUUAGCUAGUUGGUGAGGUAAUAGCUCACCAAGGCGACGAUCGGUAGCUGGUCUGAGAGGAUGAUCAGCCAGACUGGGACUGAGACACGGCCCAGACUCCUACGGGAGGCAGCAGUAGGGAAUUUUCCACAAUGGGCGAAAGCCUGAUGGAGCAACGCCGCGUGCGGGAUGAAUGCCUUCGGGUUGUAAACUGCUUUUAUAUGUGACGAUUAUGACGGUAACAUAUGAAUAAGGAUCGGCUAACUCCGUGCCAGCCGCCGCCGUAA
rnacentral:rRNA from 1 species